rnacentral:rRNA from 1 species
AAUGAACGUUGGCGGCGUGGAUUAGGCAUGCAAGUCGUACGGGUCGGUGUAGCAAUACAACGGCAAGUGGCGAAAGGGAGAGUAACACGUAGAUACCUACCCUCUGGUCGGGGAUACCGCGGCAUAACCGCAAGUAAUACCCGAUAAAAUCUCCGGAUCAAAGGUGUGAUUCCGCCGGAGGAGGGGUCUGCGUUCUAUCAGCUUGUUGGUGAGGUAAUGGCUCACCAAGGCUAAGACGGAUACGGGGUGUGAGAGCAUGCCCCCGCUCACUGGGACUGAGACACUGCCCAGACACCUACGGGUGGCUGCAGUCGAGAAUCUUCGGCAAUGGGCGCAAGCCUGACCGAGCGACGCCGCGUGCGGGAUGAAGGCCUUCGGGUUGUAAACCGCUGUCGAGGGGAAUGAAGUGUAGGUGGGUACUCCCAUCUAUUUGACAGAUCCCUGGAGGAAGCAUGGGCUAAGUUCGUGCCAGCCGCCGCUAUAACAC